GGGUUGUGAGGUUAAGCGACUAAGCGUACACGGUGGAUGCCCUGGCAGUCAGAGGCGAUGAAGGACGUGCUAAUCUGCGAUAAGCGUCGGUAAGGUGAUAUGAACCGUUAUAACCGGCGAUUUCCGAAUGGGGAAACCCAGUGUGAUUCGUCACACUAUCAUUAACUGAAUCCAUAGGUUAAUGAGGCGAACCGGGGGAACUGAAACAUCUAAGUACCCCGAGGAAAAGAAAUCAACCGAGAUUCCCCCAGUAGCGGCGAGCGAACGGGGAGCAGCCCAGAGCCUGAAUCAGUGUGUGUGUUAGUGGAAGCGUCUGGAAAGGCGCGCGAUACAGGGUGACAGCCCCGUACACAAAAAUGCACAUACUGUGAGCUCGAUGAGUAGGGCGGGACACGUGGUAUCCUGUCUGAAUAUGGGGGGACCAUCCUCCAAGGCUAAAUACUCCUGACUGACCGAUAGUGAACCAGUACCGUGAGGGAAAGGCGAAAAGAACCCCGGCGAGGGGAGUGAAAAAGAACCUGAAACCGUGUACGUACAAGCAGUGGGAGCACGCUUAGGCGUGUGACUGCGUACCUUUUGUAUAAUGGGUCAGCGACUUAUAUUCUGUAGCAAGGUUAACCGAAUAGGGGAGCCGAAGGGAAACCGAGUCUUAACUGGGCGUUAAGUUGCAGGGUAUAGACCCGAAACCCGGUGAUCUAGCCAUGGGCAGGUUGAAGGUUGGGUAACACUAACUGGAGGACCGAACCGACUAAUGUUGAAAAAUUAGCGGAUGACUUGUGGCUGGGGGUGAAAGGCCAAUCAAACCGGGAGAUAGCUGGUUCUCCCCGAAAGCUAUUUAGGUAGCGCCUCGUGAAUUCAUCUCCGGGGGUAGAGCACUGUUUCGGCAAGGGGGUCAUCCCGACUUACCAACCCGAUGCAAACUGCGAAUACCGGAGAAUGUUAUCACGGGAGACACACGGCGGGUGCUAACGUCCGUCGUGAAGAGGGAAACAACCCAGACCGCCAGCUAAGGUCCCAAAGUCAUGGUUAAGUGGGAAACGAUGUGGGAAGGCCCAGACAGCCAGGAUGUUGGCUUAGAAGCAGCCAUCAUUUAAAGAAAGCGUAAUAGCUCACUGGUCGAGUCGGCCUGCGCGGAAGAUGUAACGGGGCUAAACCAUGCACCGAAGCUGCGGCAGCGACGCUUAUGCGUUGUUGGGUAGGGGAGCGUUCUGUAAGCCUGCGAAGGUGUGCUGUGAGGUAUGCUGGAGGUAUCAGAAGUGCGAAUGCUGACAUAAGUAACGAUAAAGCGGGUGAAAAGCCCGCUCGCCGGAAGACCAAGGGUUCCUGUCCAACGUUAAUCGGGGCAGGGUGAGUCGACCCCUAAGGCGAGGCCGAAAGGCGUAGUCGAUGGGAAACAGGUUAAUAUUCCUGUACUUGGUGUUACUGCGAAGGGGGGACGGAGAAGGCUAUGUUGGCCGGGCGACGGUUGUCCCGGUUUAAGCGUGUAGGCUGGUUUUCCAGGCAAAUCCGGAAAACUAAGGCUGAGGCGUGAUGACGAGGCACUACGGUGCUGAAGCAACAAAUGCCCUGCUUCCAGGAAAAGCCUCUAAGCAUCAGGUAACAUCAAAUCGUACCCCAAACCGACACAGGUGGUCAGGUAGAGAAUACCAAGGCGCUUGAGAGAACUCGGGUGAAGGAACUAGGCAAAAUGGUGCCGUAACUUCGGGAGAAGGCACGCUGAUAUGUAGGUGAAGUCCCUCGCGGAUGGAGCUGAAAUCAGUCGAAGAUACCAGCUGGCUGCAACUGUUUAUUAAAAACACAGCACUGUGCAAACACGAAAGUGGACGUAUACGGUGUGACGCCUGCCCGGUGCCGGAAGGUUAAUUGAUGGGGUCAGCGCAAGCGAAGCUCUUGAUCGAAGCCCCGGUAAACGGCGGCCGUAACUAUAACGGUCCUAAGGUAGCGAAAUUCCUUGUCGGGUAAGUUCCGACCUGCACGAAUGGCGUAAUGAUGGCCAGGCUGUCUCCACCCGAGACUCAGUGAAAUUGAACUCGCUGUGAAGAUGCAGUGUACCCGCGGCAAGACGGAAAGACCCCGUGAACCUUUACUAUAGCUUGACACUGAACAUUGAGCCUUGAUGUGUAGGAUAGGUGGGAGGCUUUGAAGUGUGGACGCCAGUCUGCAUGGAGCCGACCUUGAAAUACCACCCUUUAAUGUUUGAUGUUCUAACGUUGACCCGUAAUCCGGGUUGCGGACAGUGUCUGGUGGGUAGUUUGACUGGGGCGGUCUCCUCCUAAAGAGUAACGGAGGAGCACGAAGGUUGGCUAAUCCUGGUCGGACAUCAGGAGGUUAGUGCAAUGGCAUAAGCCAGCUUGACUGCGAGCGUGACGGCGCGAGCAGGUGCGAAAGCAGGUCAUAGUGAUCCGGUGGUUCUGAAUGGAAGGGCCAUCGCUCAACGGAUAAAAGGUACUCCGGGGAUAACAGGCUGAUACCGCCCAAGAGUUCAUAUCGACGGCGGUGUUUGGCACCUCGAUGUCGGCUCAUCACAUCCUGGGGCUGAAGUAGGUCCCAAGGGUAUGGCUGUUCGCCAUUUAAAGUGGUACGCGAGCUGGGUUUAGAACGUCGUGAGACAGUUCGGUCCCUAUCUGCCGUGGGCGCUGGAGAACUGAGGGGGGCUGCUCCUAGUACGAGAGGACCGGAGUGGACGCAUCACUGGUGUUCGGGUUGUCAUGCCAAUGGCACUGCCCGGUAGCUAAAUGCGGAAGAGAUAAGUGCUGAAAGCAUCUAAGCACGAAACUUGCCCCGAGAUGAGUUCUCCCUGACCCUUUAAGGGUCCUGAAGGAACGUUGAAGACGACGACGUUGAUAGGCCGGGUGUGUAAGCGCAGCGAUGCGUUGAGCUAACCGGUACUAAUGAACCGUGAGGCUUAACCUUACAACGCCGAAGGUGUUU
rnacentral:rRNA from 1 species